CUCUCUUCGUACCUAGUUUCAAGGUCUUACAUGUUCAUUAAGUUUAGCCUUCAGCCUCAGAGUAAUCUCACACUUUGCUCAAUACCGUUUUGCAGAUCUGGUGACUGCGAUGUCAGCAUUCUAAAGCCCCUCCCCUAACAGCUGGUUCCACUUCCUGGGCAGUUACGCCAUCAGGCUACGGUUGGGCCAGGUACCAGACGUUCCUCUUGGGAAGACAGGUGUGAUAUCAGGGGACAGUUCCUAAGGAAGGUUUCUUUGGGGCCUCAGAGUCAUGCUGGGCUCAAGGUCAACUUUGGUGGUGUUUACAUUUAUAAUGCAGUGAAGGCACUGAUGGGAAACUCACUGAGAAACAUUGACAAUGCAAGACUGGUGACACAGAAGGAAACUGAGGCAGCGAUCAGCAAAAGUCGAACGUGGGACCUCGACUCAGAGCCAAGUUUCCAAAGCUUGGGCAUAAUCUCUCUUCUUCUCAGUUGAAAGUGACUUUUUAGGAGGUAAGUGUGAGUGUGGGUGACUCGCAGCAGGAUCCAGUUAGAGCACAAUUCUGAGAAUCCAGACCGUGAAAUCCUCCCUGGUUGUGCCAAGAACCCACUGCACGAACUUGGGAAAGUUGCCUUACUCCUCCGUGCUCUGCUUCACAUGGCGGGGAGAGGACAAAUCAGGGCCUCAUCAAAGGCUUAAGAUAAUAAAAGUUUUCCUUAACCUUUUAUAGAGAUCA
rnacentral:lncRNA from 1 species